UUAGAUUUUAUUUAUUAAUUUAUUUUAUUAAAUUUUUAAAUUAUUAAAAAUAAUUAUAAAAAGUAAAGUUUUAGUAUUGUUUAAAGAAAAAAUAAAUUUUAUAAUAGUUAAGUAGUAUUGUGAAAGAAAAUUGAAAUAUUGUGAAAAAUUUUUAUUUAAAAAGAAAAUUUAAUUUAUUGUACCUU
rnacentral:rRNA from 1 species